rnacentral:lncRNA from 1 species
CUAGAUCAUAAAGGAACAAUUGUGCGAACACUGCGCCCCCUGUCAGGAGAUCCUGCUCACGUACUUGGGCCACUCUGAGCCUCCUGUGUCCCUGUCAACCCUAAAGCAGCUGUGUGCCCUGGACAGAGUGAUGGGUUUGGGUUAAAUGCGGAAGACACAUUUCAGUUGAAGGCAUUCAGUUAGUAAUGAGGAUGAUGCUCUGUAUGACAGGGUGUCUGGGGAGCAGUGGAGGGUGGAGUGUCUGGUCCAGCUGCUGGCUGAGAUGGACAGUGACCUGCCUGGAGACUUCUUCCAGGAGCUUCUGCAGGCACCGACUUGCUGGGCUGAGGAGGAAGAUGAGCAGGAAGUGGACACAUCAGCCAUGACACUACUGCAGCUGGAGAAGUAUCUGUUUGGGAAAGUCACAGGGCAGGCUCUUUCUGGAGAACUUCUGGAGCACGAAGACUCUUUUGUGUAUCUGUCAGCCAUUCAAGGCCUGGCUGCGCCUGCAGGAAGAGUACCAGAGUGGUCCAUCCUCUCAGAAGGAGAGGACCCUGGAGACACGUCUGAAGGUUGGAGAGGUGCUGAUGAGGGCUACCAGGUCUAUGGAUUAGUGGACUGUUAUGAACCCAGCUUGCUGACCUAGUAAAAAAAAAAAACUAAUCACCACAAAAACCACACAUCAUGGGAGAGGCUCCAGCAAUAGACUCAUUAUCUUUUGGCGUGUAGAUUUGACCACACAAAGAAGGAAGUGCCUGCAGUUAGCCUCAAUGACACAGUCACCCAAGCAUCUGACAGAUUAAUAAUGAGCUGUUUUGUGAGGGACAUGUGUAUGAAUGAAUGUGAAUGUGCUUACUCAUGUUAAUGUGUCCUUGCUUACUCAUGUUAUUGUGUCAUAAGAGUGGAUCAGGCCUAAUUUUAGUCAGAAAGACAUAAAACAGUCUUAAAUCAGACAGUACAUGCUUGUUCCAUACUCAGGUUUGUUUGGAGGAGACUGUAUUAAAACCUAUCUAUCUCUGAUAGAAUUCCCUGUUUGGGUUUUUCCCCUCCCUGGUUUUGUCUGCCAGAUCUCGAUAGUACCAUUUCCCAGGACAAGUGAGGGUUUAUUCGGCAUAACACCCUCCCACUGCCUUGUCUUAGAUGUGAAAGGCACCCAGACAGACCAGCGACGGUCUCUCCCUGACCCUGCUCCACCAGUCUAACAGAACAUCAUCUCAGCUGGUUCAACAGCUGGUUUGUUGCCACAUUAGAUACCCACAGGGAUAUUUUGUCACUCCUCUGUAUCACUCUCACUUUCUUAUGCAUCUGGGAAACUUCCUCUGCCCACCAACCCACGUAUUCGGAACAAUUGUGAUCAAACCAUAGUGCCCCACGUUCUGUAUCUGUCCAAAUCCCCAGUGCACAAUGGGCCACUUUCCUUUUGCUUUUUCAUUGUAUGGCAUGCAAACAUACACUCACCUCCAUAUGUAUUUGGACAGCGAAGCUAAAGUUUUAAAUGUGGCUAUGUACUCCAGUAUUCUGGAGUUGGGGUCAAAUGUUUUAUUGCACACAGAGUGAGUCCAUGCAACUUAUUGUGACUUGUUAAGCACAUUUUUACUCCUGAACUAAUUUAGGCUUGCCAUAACAUAGGGGUUGAAUACUUAUUGACAUUCAAGACAUUUCAGCUUUUAAAUUUUUAUGAAUUAAAAAAUAUAUAUACAAAAAUUAUUUCACCUUGACAUUAUGGGGUAUUGUGUGUAGACCAGUGACAAAAAAGCUCAAUUUAAUCUGUAACAACAAAAUGUGAAAAGAUUCAAGAGGUGUGAAUACUUUCUGAAGGCACUGAAUGUUUCACCAUUUAGAAAUAAAUGUAUCUAAUCCCCACAUUUGAAGAAGUCAAGUAUUUGGGCAAAUUCACUUAGUCAAAAGUGUAAUAUUUGGCCUCAUGUUCCUAGCACACAAUGACAUCAAGCUUGUGACUCUACAAACUUGUUGGAAGCAUUUGCAUUUUGUUUGGUUGUGUUUCGGAUUAUAUUUUGCCCAAUAUGAACUGAAUGGUGAAUAAUGAAUUUUGGAGUUACUUUUAUCGUAAUAAACAAUAUAUGUUUCUGAACACUUCUACAUUAAUUUGGAUGCUACCAUGAUUAUGGAUAAUCAUGAAUGAAUUGUGAAUAAUGAUGAGUGAGAAAGUUAUAGAGGCACAAGGCCCCAAAAAAUGCUAAUGUCGUGGAAUUUUUACACAGGGACACUCGAAGUCAACCUUAAAUGAAUCAUUGUUUAUUGUCAGUUCGCUGGAGAGGUUCCAACCAACUCAAUGCUCCAAGUACACAUGUCAAUCAGGAGCUCUCCCUGGGCAGACCCAGGUGUUGUCUUAUAUACGGCUAUACACAGACAAGUUAUAUUUGCAUGAUUUAGCAUAAUUAAUUAAUCAUUAUCGUUUUGUUUAAUACAUGUGAUAGACCAAUACUGGUUUAUAACAUGUGACAGACCAAUACCUCACAAGGCAUCUUUCUUGAUAAGCUGACACCUUGAAACUGAGAUAUCUUUUGUUCGUUCUCAAAACAAGAUCUGGGGGGGUACUGCCAAAUUGCAGCUACUGUUAGUGAGGAUUUGUAUAGCCAGCCACUUGCAUGAACACAGAACUUGAUUAUUUAGAACAACACAUGAAUAGAACACAGAAAUGAGUGAUAAGAAUAUCACAAACAUUAAAAUUACACUAACCUCCCCUUUUAUUGGUAAAGGUUAGCAUGUUUUGUUGUAG